CGUUCCCAUGCCGAACACGGAAGUUAAGCUCUUCAGCGCCGAUGGUAGUUGGGGGAUCUCCCCCUGUGAGAGUAGGACGUCGCCAGGC
rnacentral:rRNA from 1 species